UGGGGAAUAUUGGACAAUGGGCGAAAGCCUGAUCCAGCCAUGCCGCGUGUGUGAAGAAGGUCUUCGGAUUGUAAAGCACUUUAAGUUGGGAGGAAGGGCAGUAAGCGAAUACCUUGCUGCUUUGACGUUACCGACAGAAUAAGCACCGGCUAACUCUGUGCCAGCAGCCGCGGUAAUACAGAGGGUGCAAGCGUUAAUCGGAAUUACUGGGCGUAAAGCGCGCGUAGGUGGUUCGUUAAGUUGAAUGUGAAAGCCCCGGGCUCAACCUGGGAACUGCAUCCAAAACUGGCGAGCUAGAGUAGGGCAGAGGGUGGUGGAAUUUCCUGUGUAGCGGUGAAAUGCGUAGAUAUAGGAAGGAACACCAGUGGCGAAGGCGACCACCUGGGCUCAUACUGACGCUGAGGUGCGAAAGCGUGGGGAGCAAACAGG
rnacentral:rRNA from 1 species